rnacentral:lncRNA from 1 species
CUUUGGUGUUUAACUUGGAAAUUAGGCUAAGCUUGAAUACUUUGGAUGGAAAUCUAACCCAAUUUUCUACCUACAUCUAAACUUCCCAUCCCAAAAUAUGCACAAUUCAGUACAAUCUUCCUUUUCAGUUUUCAGUCUGAACAAUUUCCAGGUUUGGCCAAAGAGCAGAGCUUUUCAAGAGAUCUUUUCUCACCCUUCUCAUGAGAUUAAAGCAUUUGCUAAAGCAAUGCAUAAGUAAGUCCUGCCUUUAAGCAAGCUUAUACUGAGGUUCAUCAGGCAUGACGAUUGCCAGACGAUAUUAGUUAGUACAUCACAAUGGGUAGAGCAGUGGGGGAAUAAACAACCCAAGAAUCCAACUGGAGAAGAAUGA